GGGGGAUUAGCUCAGCUGGCUAGAGCGCCUGCCUUGCACGCAGGAGGUCAUCGGUUCGAUCCCGCUUGGCUCCACCA
rnacentral:tRNA from 1 species